AGCGAACGCUGGCGGCAGGCCUAACACAUGCAAGUCGAACGAACUCUUCGGAGUUAGUGGCGGACGGGUGAGUAACACGUGGGAACGUGCCUUUAGGUUCGGAAUAACUCAGGGAAACUUGUGCUAAUACCGAAUGUGCCCUUCGGGGGAAAGAUUUAUCGCCUUUAGAGGGGCCCGCGUCUGAUUAGCUUGUUGGUGAGGUAAAGGCUCACUAAGGCGACGAUCAGUAGCUGGUUUGAGAGGAUGGUCAGCCACAUUGGGACUGAGACACGGCCCAAACUCCUACGGGAGGCAGCAGUGGGGAAUCUUGCGCAAUGGGCGAAAGCCUGACGCAGCCAUGCCGCGUGAAUGAUGAAGGUCUUAGGAUUGUAAAAUUCUUUCACCGGGGACGAUAAUGACGGUACCCGGAGAAGAAGCCCCGGCUAACUUCGUG
rnacentral:rRNA from 1 species